AUGCACCCGGAUGAUGUCGCCAAGACGGCGUUUCAGACUCAUCAUGGCCACUUUGAGUUCUUGGUGAUGCCUUUUGGCCUCUCCAACGCCCCGGCGACCUUCCAGGCUUUGAUGAACGACGUCCUCUGCCCCUACUUGCGUCGGUUUGUGCUCGUUUUCUUUGAUGAUAUUCUUAUCUACAGUGCCUCGUGGGCGGAGCACCUUCAGCACGUCGCCAUCGUCUUCAACGAGCUUCAAGCGCACCAUCUUCAUCUUAAGCGCUCGAAGUGCUCGUUCGGGACGCCUUCAGUCGCCUACCUCGGCCACGUCAUCUCGGCCGAGGGGGUUGCUAUGGACGCCGACAAGGUGGCGGCUGUCGCGGCCUGGCCAACCCCGCACUCACCGCGGGCUCUUCGUGGCUUCCUGGGCCUCGUGGGGUACUAUCAGAAGUUCAUCCGGGAGUUCAGCCUCAUCGCGUCCCCGCUCACGCGCCUGCUGCGUCGCGACGCCUUUGCCUGGGAUGCGGAGGCGACAGCGGCAUUCGAGGCUCUUAAGGGGGCCCUCACGACGGGUCCCGUUCUUCAGAUGUCUGACUUCGACCGCCCGUUCGUCGUGGACUGCGACGCCUCCGGUGUGGGGUUCGGCGUUGUCCUUCAUCAGGGCGAUGGACCUCUCGCAUUCUUCAGCAUGCCCUUCGCCGUGCGCCAUCUUAAGCUCACGACAACUCAUUGGCUUGGUGCAGGCGAUGCGCCAUUGGCGGCCCUAUCUUUGGGGUCGGUCGUUCUAGAUUCGCACGGAUCACUACAACCUCAAGUUCUUAUUGGACCAGAGGUUGUCUACCGUGCCGCAGCGUCAGUGGAUCAGCAAGCUCUUUGGCUUCGACUUCAGCGUCGAGUAUUGUCCGGGUCGCCUUAA
rnacentral:rRNA from 1 species